UUGAACGCUGGCGGCAUGCUUUACACAUGCAAGUCGAACGGCAGCGCGGGGGCAACCCUGGCGGCGAGUGGCGAACGGGUGAGUAAUAUAUUGGAACAUAUCCGGAAGUGGGGGAUAACGUAGCGAAAGUUACGCUAAUACCGCAUAUGCCCUGAGGGGGAAAGGGGGGGAUCGCAAGACCUCUCGCUUUCGGAGUGGCCGAUAUCAGAUUAGCUAGUUGGUGAGGUAAAGGCUCACCAAGGCGACGAUCUGUAGCUGGUCUGAGAGGACGACCAGCCACACUGGGACUGAGACACGGCCCAGACUCCUACGGGAGGCAGCAGUGGGGAAUUUUGGACAAUGGGCGCAAGCCUGAUCCAGCCAUGCCGCGUGAGUGAAGAAGGCCUUCGGGUUGUAAAGCUCUUUCGGACAGAAAGAAAUCGCACUGGUUAAUACCUUGUGUGGAUGACGGUACUGUAAGAAGAAGCACCGGCUAACUACGU
rnacentral:rRNA from 1 species